UUGCUAUCUGCGAUAUCCAAGAUUCGAACCUGCCGCAGGUUUGAGUCGAACGAAGAGAGACAACGGAGCCGCCUGCGGCGACGGCCCAAAGGGCGAGCGAAGCGAGUCAUCCUGCACGACCCACCA
rnacentral:sRNA from 4 species